rnacentral:rRNA from 1 species
UCAUACGGAGGAUCCAAGCGUUAUCCGGAAUUACUGGGCGUAAAGAGUUGCGUAGGCGGCAUAGUAAGCAGAGUGUGAAAUCGUGUGGCUCAACCAUACACCCAUACUCUGAACUGCUAAGCUAGAGAAUGGAAGAGGUCGCUAGAAUUCCUGGUGUAGGGGUGAAAUCCGUAGAUAUCAGGAGGAAUACCGAUGGCGUAGGCAGGCGACUGGUCCAUUUCUGACGCUCAGGCACGAAAGCGUGGGGAGCGAUCGGG